rnacentral:sRNA from 1 species
AGUUGCAUGCCAGUUUGUUUGAAUUACCGCUGUCCCUGACACCGAAAUAUUUUCACGAACCACUUGCAAGAGUUCCACAUCAAUCGAGAUAUGAAAUUGAUGACCUUUUCUCUUGACCAUUCUCUGUUGAAUAAACAGAUGCGGUUAUCUGCAUCUUUGUAUUAAGUAUCCAUCCGCUUUCAUUUCUGCCUAGGUCGAACGGCGCAUACCUGCAUCUAAAAUCUGCAGAGUUAUCCAUUCGUUCAAACUAGUGAGAAUACGAAUCUUCGAAUAAAUAACUCCGAAUAUCAACAACAGCACGUACUCAGCAAAAAGCCGAUCAAGGAAGCAGUUAUCAAGACAAGCCUGGUACCUUUACUAUUUAAAGUGUCAAUUGGUAAACAAACCCUUCGUCGGAGUUAUGUUGUAUCUCAAAAAUAUCAUUCCUUUUCAUCAGAGAGUGCAACCCAGCUUGUCAUGUUGGUGUCUCUGCGGACGAAAUAUAUCCACCCUUGCUUCCACGCGACAUCCCAGAAGAUUCGACCACUUGCUCUAGCACAAGCACAUGCAUAUGUUCACCUCAGCUAUCCGAGGCCCAAAUCUAUAAAGCUGAACCAGAAAUUGGUUGAGUUGUCCUUUUGAUUCCGGAUAGCUUGAAAUCCCAUUGAUUUAUUACACCUUCCAGUGGACAGCAGCACAUCUGUUAGUUGUACAGCUCACACUAUGUAGCUGCUGUGGAGCUGAACGAUCCAUGGAUUUUCGGGCUCAUGGACCUUCCAAGGAUGAAAUAGAAAAAAAGUUAGUCAAAGUUAAAAAUAAGACCCCUUUCUCAAUAUCGAGC